rnacentral:rRNA from 1 species
CAGCCGCCGCGGUAAUACGAAGGGUGCAAGCGUUACUCGGAAUUACUGGGCGUAAAGCGUGCGUAGGUGGUGGUUUAAGUCCGUUGUGAAAGCCCUGGGCUCAACCUGGGAAUUGCAGUGGAUACUGGGUCACUAGAGUGUGGUAGAGGAUAGUGGAAUUUCCGGUGUAGCGGUGAAAUGCGUAGAGAUCGGGAGGAACAUCAGUGGCGAAGGCGGCCAUCUGGGACAACACUGACGCUGAGGCACGAAAGCGUGGGGAGCAAACAGGAUUAGAUACCCGGGUAGUCCCUGUCUCUUAUAC